rnacentral:lncRNA from 1 species
AUCCAGACAGUCUGCAUGCUUUCUCCUGUAAUCUUUCCUGCUGGCUCCCUUCAUAGAUGCCUGGCCUGUCUGGGCUUCCCUUCUCUCAAACUGGGCUCACUUACUAAAGUGACCUUUCUCUUGACUAGGCAGCUACUUUGAUGACCUCCUCAAAUGCAAUGCAAAAGCUGGACUCUCCUCCGCCCCCAAGCACUCCCAGGCUCCUGGGCAGGGCCAUCAACUCCACUCCAGCCAUCCCUCCAGACUGGCGCCUGAAAAAUAGAAUUUCUGCUUCAGGGACCCAAGCAUUUGCUGCCGUCAGGCAUUUCAAAGAGGACAAGACAACAAGGUGUUCUGAGACAAGCAGAGAAGAGGGCACUGCUGUGGGACCGCCUUCCCCAUGCCCAGCGAGCCUCUUCUGCAUCUCUUUCUGCUGUGGCAAAGUGGGUUAAACAGCGCGCGGAUUUGCGAGGAACAUAGCCAACAAAUGAGAUAUCAAACGCAGCUUCCCAUGUAAGAGAUCAGACUCCGGCGGGCACGCACGCCGGCGCUCUGCUGGAGCUCCUUGGCUCUGCAGCCAGCUUCAUUUAGGAUUCAUAAAUACUUUUGCGCACUCCCGCACAUACAGCCGCCAAAGGAAUUUCAUUCUGUAUCAUCUGCAUUCAAAUGCAACAAAGUGAAAAAAAAAAUGUGGACAUUAAAAAGAAGGAGAAGAAGAAGGAAGAGGCUCUGAAGAAAAUCUGAGGCUCGGAGUGGUGGGUGUUGGGUAGCUGAUGACUUGAGGAAGGCUUCCUCUACCUCUGUGUUCCUACAGAGAAGCCUGUCCCUGACUUCAGUUCACCUGUCGCA